AUAUCAGUCAUGCAUAGCAUAUCAAUAAGGCGGAGGAAAAGAAACUAACAAGGAUUCCCUUAGUAACGGCGAGUGAAGCGGGAAGAGCUCAAAUUUGAAAUCUUCAAGGUUCUACCUUGACGAAUUGUAGUUUAUAGAAGUGUUUUCUGUUAGUAGAGUGGCAAAAGUCCUUUGGAAUAGGACAUCAUAGAGGGUGAGAAUCCCGUAUUUGGUCAUUCUUUCUAGCUUUGUGAUACACUUUCAACGAGUCGGAUUGUUUGGGAAUGCAGUCCAAGAUGGGUGGUAAAUUUCAUCUAAAGCUAAAUAUUGGCGAGAGACCGAUAGCGAACAAGUACCGUGAGGGAAAGAUGAAAAGAACUUUGAGAAGAGAGUUAAACAGUACGUGAAAUUGUCAAAAGGGAAGCGUUUGACACCAGUGUUGUUUUUCCGAAAAUCAAUUACGAAUGUUUUGUUUUUGAGGAGUUAUGACUUCAUCGGCUUGCUCCUUUCUUUACAGAAACUUAUUGAAUGCACUUUUCAGUUAACAAGUCAACAUCAAUUUCUUUUGUUGUAAAAGGGUAUGAGGAAGGUGGCUUACUCUUCGGCGUAAAGUGUUUAUAGCCUUGUGCCUCUGCAAUCGGAGAGAUUGAGGUCUGCAGCGUAGAUCCUUCGGGGUUAGAUACAGUUUGUGCUAAGUUAUAGUCUUUUAUAGACAACUUGUUGACUAUGAUUUAGUCUUGUAGCUUACUCGCUUAUGCUAUUUUACCUACGCUUAGGAUGUUGAUGUGAUACUGCGAGCA
rnacentral:rRNA from 1 species